rnacentral:tRNA from 1 species
GGGGAUUUAGCUCAGUGGUAGAGCACUUGCCUAGUAAGCGCAAGGCCCUGGGUUCGGUCCCCAGCUCCCA